rnacentral:rRNA from 1 species
GAUGAACGCUGGCGGCGUGCCUAAUACAUGCAAGUCGAGCGGAUGGAUUGAGAGCUUGCUCUUAUGAAGUUGGCGGCGGACGGGUGAGUAACACGUGGGUAACCUGCCCAUAAGACUGGGAUAACUCCGGGAAACCGGGGCUAAUACCGGAUAACAUUUUGAACCGCAUGGUUCGAAAUUGAAAGGCGGCUUCGGCUGUCACUUAUGGAUGGACCCGCGUCGCAUUAGCUAGUUGGUGAGGUAACGGCUCACCAAGGCAACGAUGCGUAGCCGACCUGAGAGGGUGAUCGGCCACACUGGGACUGAGACACGGCCCAGACUCCUACGGGAGGUAGCAGUAGGGAAUCUUCCGCAAUGGACGAAAGUCUGACGGAGCAACGCCGCGUGAGUGAUGAAGGCUUUCGGGUCGUAAAACUCUGUUGUUAGGGAAGAACAAGUGCUAGUUGAAUAAGCUGGCACCUUGACGGUACCUAACCAGAAAGCCACGGCUAACUACGUGCCAGCCGCCGCAGUAA